rnacentral:rRNA from 1 species
GACGAACGCUGGCGGCGUGCUUAACACAUGCAAGUCGAACGAAGUGGCGAACGGGUGAGUAAAGCGUAAUCAACCUGCCCUUCAGAGGGGGACACCAGUUGGAAACGACUGCUAAUACCGCAUACUGAAGGAGGGGAUUGGGUCGUAGUAGCUGGUUGGGGGGGUAACGGCCCACCAAGGCGAUGAUCAGUAGCCGGUCUGGGAGGAUGAACGGCCAAAUUGGGACUGAGACACGGGCCAAGCCCCUACGGGAGGCAGCAGUUGGGAAACAUCCGCAAUGGACGAAAGUCUUACGGAGCAACGCCGCGUGAGUGAUGACGGCCUUCGGGUUGUAAAGCUCUGUUAAUCGGGACGCGGUACCGGAAGAGAAAGCCACGGCUAACUACGUGCCAGCCGCCGCGGUAAUUC